GUACUUUUUCGGCCUUCGGGCUAAGAUCUAGGGUAGUAUCUGUUCUUAUCGGUUUAGUAUCUGAUACGUGGUCCAUCGGAUCACAUGAUAUUAAAUUAAUUUUUCAGUGAGGGAGAGGCCACCACACUAGCUUGCUAGUGGGUCCCUUGACCGUCGCCCAUGCGUUGCCCUACUGCCUAAGCUGGCACACUCCCA
rnacentral:snRNA from 1 species